rnacentral:tRNA from 1 species
AAGAAAGUUGUAGAGGCUACAGAGUUGGCUUGAAACCAAUUUUUGGGGGUUCGAUUCCUUCCUUUCUUG